rnacentral:rRNA from 1 species
GUGCCAGCCGCCGCGGUAAUACGAAGGGGGCUAGCGUUGUUCGGAAUUACUGGGCGUAAAGCGUGCGCAGGCGGCCAUCCAAGUCAGUGGUGAAAGCCCGGAGCUCAACUCCGGAAUUGCCAUUGAAACUGUUUGGCUCGAGUACGAGAGAGGUGAGUGGAAUUCCCAGUGUAGAGGUGAAAUUCGUAGAUAUUGGGAAGAACACCGGUGGCGAAGGCGGCUCACUGGCUCGUAACUGACGCUCAUGCACGACAGCGUGGGGAUCAAACAGGAUUAGAUACCCGCGUAGUCC